rnacentral:rRNA from 1 species
UACGUAGGGUGCAAGCGUUAAUCGGAAUUACUGGGCGUAAAGCGUGCGCAGGCGGUUGUGUAAGACAGAUGUGAAAUCCCCGGGCUUAACCUGGGAGCUGCAUUUGUGACUGCACGGCUAGAGUGCGGCAGAGGGGGAUGGAAUUCCGCGUGUAGCAGUGAAAUGCGUAGAUAUGCGGAGGAACACCGAUGGCGAAGGCAAUCCCCUGGGCCUGCACUGACGCUCAUGCACGAAAGCGUGGGGAGCAAACAGG